AAAUCAAGCAUCCAUUUUGGUGGAUUAGGUUUUAUUUUUACCCCAUCAACAUCCAAGAUCCAUUGAGCUUGAUGAGACCUAUGGUCCAAACCAUCAUGAUCCAAGACCAACAAAAGUCAACAAAGGUCAAACAAAUAUAAAAUUAAAUGAAAUGAAAUAAAAAUGCACAAAAAGUAUUUUUAAAUGAAUUGUAAAAUAGAAAUAAAAAAAAAUCCAUGAAGUCCUUCAAAACACUAAAUAAAUGGCC
rnacentral:lncRNA from 1 species